GGGUGAAUAGUUUAGUGGGAGAACAUAGAAGGUACGGUAGAUUCUAAGGCGGUAGAUCGAAACUACCUUCACCUA